rnacentral:rRNA from 1 species
CUCCGGUGGUAAGAGAGGGAGCCGGGUGAGAUUCCCUCGUGGGGGAGGUAACGGCUCGGGUAGACAAACAUACCGGCCCGAUUGGAAAGGAUGACCGGCCAGAUUGGGAGUGAGACACGGCCCAGACUCCUACGGGAGGCAGCAGUGGGGAAUCUUGCGCAAUGGGGGGAACCCUGACGCAGCGACGCCGCGUGCGGGACGGAGGCCUUCGGGUCGUAAACCGCUUUCAGCAGGGAAGAGUCAAGACUGUACCUGCAGAAGAAGCCCCGGCUAACUACGUGCCAGCAGCCGCGGUAAUACGUAGGGGGCGAGCGUUAUCCGGAUUCAUUGGGCGUAAAGCGCGCGUAGGCGGCCCGGCAGGCCGGGGGUCGAAGCGGGGGGCUCAACCCCCCGAAGCCCCCGGAACCUCCGCGGCUUGGGUCCGGUAGGGGAGGGUGGAACACCCGGUGUAGCGGUGGAAUGCGCAGAUAUCGGGUGGAACACCGGUGGCGAAGGCGGCCCUCUGGGCCGAGACCGACGCUGAGGCGCGAAAGCUGGGGGAGCGAACAGGAUUAGAUACCCUGGUAGUCCCAGCCGUAAACGAUGGACGCUAGGUGUGGGGGGACGAUCCCCCCGUGCCGCAGCCAACGCAUUAAGCGUCCCGCCUGGGGAGUACGGCCGCAAGGCUAAAACUCAAAGGAAUUGACGGGGGCCCGCACAAGCAGCGGAGCAUGUGGCUUAAUUCGAAGCAACGCGAAGAACCUUACCAGGGCUUGACAUAUGGGUGAAGCGGGGGAGACCCCGUGGCCGAGAGGAGCCCAUACAGGUGGUGCAUGGCUGUCGUCAGCUCGUGUCGUGAGAUGUUGGGUUAAGUCCCGCAACGAGCGCAACCCCCGCCGCGUGUUGCCAUCGGGUGAUGCCGGGAACCCACGCGGGACCGCCGCCGUCAAGGCGGAGGAGGGCGGGGACGACGUCAAGUCAUCAUGCCCCUUAUGCCCUGGGCUGCACACGUGCUACAAUGGCCGGUACAGAGGGAUGCCACCCCGCGAGGGGGAGCGGAUCCCGGAGAGCCGGCCCCAGUUCGGAUUGGGGGCUGCAACCCGCCCCCAUGAAGUCGGAGUUGCUAGUAAUCGCGGAUCAGCAUGCCGCGGUGAAUGCGUUCCCGGGCCUUGCACU